AGAUGGGAACGGUCAAUGUCGUGAUCAUAGAACAUAUAAUUUUGCUAAAACACAAGUUUAAAGGAUUUAACAUCGAUAACAUAGUAAAAUAAAGCCAAAUUAAAUCAACAUUGCAUGAAUUUCAUUAAUUUUGGCUGUUUGCCUGUUCCAACCCCGAUAAUUUACGACAUUACACCCUAGCCGUUUUGCGACGCCAUGUUUUGUAGAGAAGGACGCAACGAUACAUUUGCAAGGAAAAAAGCAGUUUAUACGCCGAAAAUAGAUUAAAUACGUUUAUAUGUAGACGAAAAUAUACAGAUUGGUGCCGUUCGGUUUCAUUUAACAACUGUACAAACGAUGUCACCCCGAAUGCAGUUCCACGAUGUACAUGUUCUUCAUUGUUUUUCACGUAUAGAGAAGGAAAAGAAUCAACAUAUGUCAGCAGUUAACAUCUCCCACCUACUCAACUCUAGAUAGCUGUUCCUGUGGAUCCACAUGUAUGAAAAGAUCGCUGUGUGUUGCAAACACUAGAAUGGGCUAAGAAUCAUAUUCAUGUGUCAAAGCCUGAAAUCUGCAUGGCGCAGUUGUUAAAGCAGCUCUCAAUUGUCUCAAAGUAAGGAGCACUGUGGAACAUGGAGGCCAGUCCUUUGGAUGAGACUGUAUAAACUGUGUUCCCCUGCUGCAGUAGACGUUGGCAUGAAAAAGAUCCCUCAGAGGUCAAUGGCCAAAAGU